AUACUUACCUGGCAGGGGCGAUACCAUGAUCACGAAGGUGGUUCACCCAGGGCGUGGCUCUGCCAUUGCACUUGGGUGGUGCUGACCCUUGCGAUUUCCCCAAAUGCGGGAAUAGUGGGGGACUGCGUUUGC
rnacentral:snRNA from 1 species